rnacentral:rRNA from 1 species
GAGUUUGAUUAUGGCUCAGGAUGAACGCUAGCGGGAGGCCUAACACAUGCAAGCCGAGCGGGAUUUGUUGGUUAGCUUGCUAACUAAUAAUGAGAGCGGCGUACGGGUGCGUAACACGUGUGCAACCUGCCUUUAUCUGGGGGAUAGCCUUUCGAAAGGAAGAUUAAUACCCCAUAAUAUAUUAAUUGGCAUCAAUUGAUAUUGAAAGCUCCGGCGGAUAGAGAUGGGCACGCGUAAGAUUAGCUAGUUGGUGAGGUAACGGCUCACCAAGGCUGCGAUCUUUAGGGGGCCUGAGAGGGUGAUCCCCCACACUGGUACUGAGACACGGACCAGACUCCUACGGGAGGCAGCAGUGAGGAAUAUUGGACAAUGGGUGAGAGCCUGAUCCAGCCAUCCCGCGUGAAGGACUAAGGACCUAUGGUUUGUAAACUUCUUUUAUACAGGGAUAAACCUACUCUCGUGAGGGUAGCUGAAGGU